GAAAGUAACGGCUGACCAUAAUUAUCUCCGAUAUAAGUCAACUGUUUCCACAUAAUAUUUCAUUUCACAUCGGUGCAACGUCAGAGCCGUUUGGAUUUGUCAUGAACAAGUACAUUUUGCGAGUCAACAUGAUCACUUUAGUCCUUACGGUGAUCAGUUUGGAAUUAUCGGCUGCAAGUCUUGUUUGCCAGUCGGACGCUGAUUGCAGCAUUGAGCAUUGCCAGAGUGAAUAUCCUGGUGAAGAAAUUGAUGAUACGCAUCCACCUUAUUGCGAGGGUCCAUUCAUGGGAGACACAAAGUAUUGUGAUUGUACUCUGAAACCCAACAUCCCCAUGAAUAACUAGAGCAAUUCAACUGAGCGCAAUAGUUGGCUGAUUACGAUUGUUACUGAAGAUGAAACUAGCACACGAUAUUUUGAGUAAUAUAUAAUCAUUAUUCCAACGUUGGAAAUAUAUUGUACCUCGUUAUGA